GAACAACAAUUGCUAAAAGGUGCGGUUCACCCUUCAAACCGCAUCUUUUGAGCGGUUCUUUGCCCUUUUGAGUGUUUCUUUGGUUUCACGCACACCAUUGGAUGCGGAAGUUGUUGACCCGCAGCUUUUGCCCCCAAUUUUCCCCCACAAAAUUUCACUUCCCUUCGUCUUCAAAAAAAUUUAAACCCUAAAAACCUCUCCUACCCCCACAAGCAUUAAUUUCCCUCCGUCUCCAAAAAGAAUUAAACACCGAAAACCAUUCCAUCUCCUAGAAACUUCUCCUCUCCGGUCUCCACCGUAUGCUCCCAAAAAAUUAAAUACCUCGAAGUCAUCCACCAUCCAUCUAAGAUCGGACGCAACAGACAACCGCCUCAAUCUUCCUUCAUCUUGAUGACGGUCUUAAUCGAACAUCACGGUUCUUGAACACAUUUGAAGAGUAUCCAGAUAUUUCGUGUUGAAGAGACCCCGUAGAAGAUGAGAGGGCACAACCAUGGGUGUCUAUCAUUGUCCCGGUCUCGGAAUCAGUCUUUUUUCUCUCUCGGUAAUCUCUCCUCUUUUUGACCUAGAUUCAUCAUUGGUUUUUGUUGAGUGUUUGGGGAUUUAUGGUUUAAACUUUAAAGAUGACAGAUUUUGCAGGCCUCGCAAGUUGGGAAAUGGAUCAAUAAGGGAUUGAGUUGAAACCUUUUAUUUUGUAGUUGUGUGUAUGGAAGCCAAAAAACCUGGUCAAACUGAUGGAAGUUGGUUGGGUCUGUGGUUUAAUAAGUCUAAUCAUAUAGUCGGUUGGUUUAAAAAAAAUGAAAACUGGUUUACAAAAAAUAUAACACGAAUUGAAAUAAAAUAAUUUUUAUUUGACUUAUAUGGCAGAGUUUGUUCAGUUUCAAGCAUUGUUGAUCUACCUGUGAUUUCUUGACACCUUCCAAAAUCAUAUUCUACAACUUGCUGUAGCUUUGAUAGUCUUUGCUUAGGUGUUUCGGCUAAGCUUUGAUACCCACAUUUUGCAGGAUUUGUAUAUAGGAGAGGCACCUUACCACUAGGUAGGGGUGUUAACAAGGCCAGAGGCUCGAGAGCUACUCGUGAUUGGCUUGGUUAAAAGCUCGAACGAGUCGAGCCUUAACGAGCCCGAGCUCAAGCCUGAAAUACAAAGCUUGUUUAGGCUCGCGAGCCCAAACGAGCCUAAACAAAAUUUUAGUAUUUUAUAUGUAUAAUAUAAUAAUGAUGAUGAUAAUAUUGGUGAGCCGAGCUCGAGCCGAGCUUUGGCUCGCUUAAUCGCUGUUGAAACGAGCUUGAGCCGAGCUUUUAGCUCAUUUGAGGUUGUUCUCGAAAUAGCUCGAGUCGAGCCGAGCUCGAGCUCAAGCUUCAUAAAAACAUAACGAGCCGAGCUCGGGCUCGGGCUCGGCUCGGCUCGUUUACACCCCUACCACUAGGAUGUCCUUUGGGUAGGUUAUACAAUAAUUUGGUUGGUAUGGUGGGUGAGUUUUAUUGUUUAGGAAAUUGGGAUUAUGUAGUUUAUGGAGGUAUGAGUUCCACCAUUGUUGGACAAGAUCCGGCUCUGAUCAGUUCAUGGAAGCUUACUGUGAGAUACUAUGCUAUUUUCACAAGGAUGGAGUCCCAGUUCAAGUUUAAGUUGAUGUACUUAUUGGUUGGAUCAUGAAAUAGCAAUCUUCAUUGUAACAUGGGUUAGGUAAAGAUCCUAGACUAUAUCUCUAGAUUAUUUAUCUGUUCUCUUUUUAUGUAUUAUGUCUAUAAUGUUGGCUGCUAAAUUGUAAACAUGUGAUAAUCUGUUUUAUGUACUAUAAUCAGUAGACAAUACCCAACCAUGGUUUUAAGUGUUUAAUGGGUCCUAAGUUAUAGCUUCUAAGUUAUUAGCCUAUUUUCUCUGUAUUUACAACUUGCAUAUGUUGUACAUAGAUUAAGCACUUCAAUUUUCUGUUAAUUAAGUUUCUUGUUUGUUGACUUUUUUUGUAAUAACUCUAUGUGAAAUAAGGUUGUAGUGAGAGAGGUAGGGGUGUAAACAAGCCCAGAGAGCUCGAGAGCCCAGUCGAGCUCGGGCUCGGCCCGGCUCGUUUACACCCCUAGAGAGAGGCGCGGACAGAAAUGGAUCACCUAAAGAGGAACUUGAUCUUGACAUGAAUAACAUCAGUAUGGUUGAUCAUCAAGCUGAAGAUCGGUACAAUAUGUAUGACUUUGACAGCGUUGAGUUAAUAUGUUACUUUGAACGGUUAUUAGUGAUCCUUCAUGAGAAAGAACUCACUUGGGUUGGGCGUCUCUUGCAUAAGCAUCAUACUUGUGUAAUUUCAGCACUAAGAAUCGGUACGUCUUUAAAGUAGCAUCCACUCACAUGGUCUGCCACUGUAAGUUCUUAUAUAUUCAAGCAAAACAUAGGUCUUAUUUUUUAGAUAUAUUUGUUGAUGCUGGAAUAGGGGAGUGAUUCCUAUCAUUUUUCUUUUUCUGUUUCUUUAAUAAGAACAACCUACAAUAUGAGAUCAUUAUUUUUUGGUAUAUUGAACAUGUUGAACGUCUAUUUGAAAGUUUAUAGAUUCGCUCUGAUUACUUCUUAUUACAUGGGCUUUAUCAUUUAAUUAAAGAUUCCAUCUUAUCUUAUACAUAUAUACACUUUUAGACAAUUUUUAAGCUUCAUUUUUAAUAAUUUAACAUUAUGUUUUGGUAGGCAAUUUCGACGGUUCCUGUUGCAAGUAUUAAUUGAAGACAUAGGUUGGGGUUGCAAGUAUCAGUCUCUUAAUGACAUGUUUUUGUAAUGCAGUUCGUGCCACUAUAGAGUUGGAAUUUGAUUUUCAUAGGGCCAUCUACAACCUCAACAUUGUUUAGGUUAGUUCAACAUUGUUUUGGUUAGUUUAACGAACUUUUUCUUCUCUACGAUUCUAGUUGCAAGUAUGGAUUGAAGACGUUGGUUUGGGUUGAAAGUAUGAAGACAUCGGUCGGUUUAGGAAGUUACUGUAUAUCACUUUCAUCUUUAGAGUUUUAUGUAUUGUUGUGUUACCUGAAACUUUUGUAAUAUUAUGUUACUUUGAAACCUUUGUAUUUUAUAUUCUUAGGUUAUAUUAUACUGGU